AAUCGAACGAUCAGUCCAUCGAAUUAGACGUUUCCUUUUGGUGUUUAUGACUUUUUAGGUUAAUUGGCUAUACACCCUUUUGAUGUUUGUUCUCUUAACCUCGUGAUUCAAAAUCUGAAAUUGUAUACAUGUACGCAGCUCGAUGCGAUAUUGAUUGAUUGGUGUUUUUGACGUUGGGGGGACUGCUGAUUGUGCUGUAUAGGUAUGUGAAUCGCAAGUUCAGCAAUCAGUAUAAGGUGACGAUCGGAGCUGAUUUCUUGACGAAGGAAGUUCAGUUUGAGGACAGGUUGUUCACAUUGCAGAUUCUGGCUAUGCGUCACCCAAGGAGACUUGUCUUGUCAGGUUGCUUGGUAACUUUGGUGGUGAUGACUAUUCUUUCUGCUUUUGUUGGUUGGGCUGCUCCUAACCUGGUAAGUUGUUUCCUAUAUGAUUCCUGCGGUAUUUUUUUCUUCUCUUUCUACUUAGCGAAUGUCAAUAUACAUAACAAGGGCAGCAUUUGUUUUCUUUUACAUAUUGGAGUUCCAUUUGAUGUUCUUUUAUAAGGAAGUGAUGGCCUGAAGCACAUGCUUUUAGUAUGGUUCUAGAAUGACAUAUGCUUGGUCUUUCUGAAGCUUUUUAUUUAAUUGAUCGGAAUUUCAUUA